UCCCUUCCUCUCUCUCUGCCUGCCUCUCUGCCUACUUGUGAUCUCCGUCAAAUGAAUAAAUAAAAUCUUUAAAAAAAUAAAAAUAAAAAUAAAACAGUAAGGAAGCUUAUUCUUCCCUCUGUAACUGUUCCCUAUUAUUGCUGUCUCCUUCCUCCGCUCCCAUGGACACCUUCCCUGGCUCUUCAGGACGGUGCACCGUCAGAGUCCACAUUCCAGGCAACAGCAUGGCUGGUACCCCUUCCCUUAAGAGCACAAUCCAAAAACUGCACACCUCCAUUUUCUUACAUCUUACUGCCCAAGCUUAGUCAUGUGGCCAUGCCUGGUGGCAGAGGAGUCUGGGAAAUGUAGUCUUCAGCUGGGGACUCUCAGGAAGUCCGGGAGGACAGAUACUGAGGGACAUAGUCUAGCGGUCUCUGCCACAGCCGGGAUGGCCAAAUCCUCGUCUUCACUUUCCAGCUGGAGACACCAAGCUCAGAGUGCAGAUGUCACCAAAAGCUGCUGGCCCUAGGUGGUCAGUGUUACUACAUCCCCUAUUUUACCGAUGGAGCGACUGAGGCACAGGGAAGUGAAGUUGCCAGAGGUGCCAGAGCUAGGAUGUGGCAAAACCGGGAUUCGAAUUUAGAGAGCGCACGCUGGAGACAGCAGGAGCAGGGGGAGCAGGAGAGGGCAAAGCAGCCUCCCCUCUCAGCAGGGAGCCUGACAACUGCCCUAGGACUUGAUCUCCUGACCCUGGGAUCAUGAUCUGAGCCAAAGGCAGCUGCUUAACCGACUGAGACACUCAGGUGUUCCAAAAAGUCUUUGCUCAUACAUCACCUCAAGAAGACCAUCCUGACCACCCCAGCUAAAAUUGUGACGGCCCCCUUGCCUUCUACCAUUAACACUGAUCACCUUCUAA